UUUUAACAUUCAAUGUUUUAAGCUGUAAUGAAUGUAAGCUCGGUUUAUGCUGCCACCAGCAAGUAUGGUUUCCAAACCGCUGCCUAAGAAGGAAGCCAAAUUAGAAAGGGCCUCGCAACUGCGUUACUUUUGGGAUCUUGACCUAGUUUGGUUGCCUCAUUUCCCGCAAGUCUGGAAUUUGGCAUGCCUUAUUUGGGCCUAAUCACUGCCUAACUAAAAUUUCUAGUCGGGAUGUUAGUUAUUUAUCUUGUCCAAUUUUUCAUUUUUUAAAAAUACUUACGAUAGCUUUGUUGUCAAGUUGCUAUCUGUGAUAAUAAAUAAUAAAACUUAUAUAAGAUGUUGGAAUAUUUCUUGUGACAUUGGUCAAAGUUACUGCUGACGCAAACGAGUUUUUCUGGUAUAAAAAUUUCCGUUUUUCUGUGAUUGGUAUGCAGAAGCUCACAGAAACUCAUCGAAGCAUUACUGUCCAGUUUGGGAAAAAUCGAAAAUGUCGAAAUAUAUUUCAUUGUUAGUUAUCCUCAUGUUUGUAAGCCUUUAUGUCUGUGCAGUCGAAGGAUGUGCCGGCAAAUGGUGUCAUCCGAUUCAAGGUUACCCCUGCUGUGACGGCUACAAAUGUAACAAUGGACAUUGGAUGCAAGGAAACUGCGAUGUAAAUACUGCGAGAAAGGUACCGGCGGGCUAGUCCUUGACAGUAGAAAAAAAAUUGUAUCAAUGGCAUGAAGAAAUAAAUGUUAUUGUACAAUAAUAAAAAUGAAAUAAAUUAACCCAUGAAAAAA